GACGAACCGUGCGAACGUUAUUCGGAAUCACUGGGCUUAAAGGGCGCGUAGGCGGGCGACCAAGUCAGGGGUGAAAUCGUUCGGCCCAACCGGACAAGGGCCCCUGAUACUGGUUGUCUCGAGGGAGGUAGGGGUCGAUGGAACUUCCGGUGGAGCGGUGAAAUGCGUAGAUAUCGGAAGGAACGCCGGUGGCGAAAGCGAUCGACUGGACCUCUUCUGACGCUGAGGCGCGAAAGCCAGGGGAGCAAACGGGG
rnacentral:rRNA from 1 species